CCGCAGCCGUCGUCUUCGCGUAUCGCGGCGCGCAGCGCGCCAUUCAAAGCCAGGCCUGCGGGCAUCGCCGACGCGUCUUCUUGUAAACGCGCCCCUCCGACGCUUCUCCUACCCUUACCCGCCCAAAACCAGAACCAGCAAGAGGCGUCGCUCGAAGCAUCGGGCAGAAGUGCAGUAGACGCUCGCGCAUAUUGCUGCCUCCUCUUCCGUUCCUCGUAAGAGUAUCCACCUCCGUUCCGCAUACCACGCAGCGUACUGCGCGCGAAGACGGCAUCGGAUCGCCUUAUUCGAUUUGACCCCAACCCCGUGACCCGGAAAAGCCAGAUUCGAGAAGAAGACAUCGAAACCCAUUCCUUUCUUCGACAAGGUGGACACACGAUCAGGCUGCCGUGGAUAGUGCGGGAAAUACCGGCGGCUACGUCGACUCAGCAUCACCGGAGGACGCUGCCUUAACAUUUGCAUAAGUGCACCGCGGCGCCAUAAGUGCUCGUGGUGGGAGUGAGGUGUGUGCUGCAGCCCCCCAUCACCGACCUGGUUACUCACGUCGACGUUCUCCUUCGAACUCCUACCGGCCUGAUAUGGACAUUUGCCACGGUUGCUAAAUAAGAUCCACAAACAGGCAUCCCUUAACAGGUUUCCAAUUGCAAUGGGUGGUCGUAAGCAGCCGGCAGGUGCAUCGCCUAUCAUCAGUCUUCUCUUCAUCACAGCUUGCACUGGUCAGCAGCUGAAUGCUGUAGAAACCAAUGGAGUGUUCUUUUCAGGACUCCCUAGAGCUCCAUCGGAAAUCAAUGCCAUCACCGCGAAAGGGGCCGACAUUUCAGGAAACACACUCGGAAGAGGAUUCCUCGAGAAAUUCAGUAAGGACA
rnacentral:lncRNA from 1 species